rnacentral:rRNA from 1 species
UACGGAGGGGGCUAGCGUUGUCCGAAGUUACUGGGCGUAAAGCGCGCGUAGGCGGGUUGGUAAGUCCGCUGUGAAAGCCCGGAGCUUAACUCCGGAGGGUCGGUGGAUGCUGCCAGUCUUGAAGGUGCUAGGGGGAGAUGGAAUUACCGGUGUAGCGGUGAAAUGCGCAGAUAUCGGGAGGAACACCUAUGGCGAAGGCAGCUCGCUGGGACGUUACUGACGCUGAGACGCGAAAGCGUGGGGAGCAAACAGG